rnacentral:lncRNA from 1 species
ACCUUCGAAGGGUUGAUUCCCACAUUAACGGUGGACCCAUUAACUUUCUCACGAGUGAUUCGCUCAAUGUGGAUGACCCAUUUGCGACGGUAAACCUGAACCACUUUCCCUUCACGGCCUUUGUAGGUUCCGCGAACGACUUGGACCUCGUCGUCCUUGCGAACCGGCAUGGAGCGGACGUUGUAUUUGGACCGGAGGUCGGAGGAGAGUGGCGCGCUCAUUAGGAUGCGGCGGACGCUUGACGGCGCCGUGAAAUGGGC